rnacentral:rRNA from 1 species
AAUAUUGGUCAAUGGAGGCAACUCUGAACCAGCCAAGACGCGUGAAGGAUGACUGCCCUACGGGUUGUAAACUUCUCUUUUAAGGGAAUAAAGUGAGCCACGUGUGGCUUUUGGCAUGUAUCGUACUAAUAUGGAUCGGCUAACCCCGUGCCAGCAGCCGCGGUAAUACGGAGGAUCCGAGCGCUAUCCGGAUUUAUUGGGUUUAAAGGGUGCGCAGGCGGAAUAUUAAGUCGGCGGUGAAAGUUUGCAGCUUAACUGUAAAAUUGCCGUUGAUACUGGUAUUCUUGAGUAUAUAUGAAGUAGGCGGAAUUUGUAGUGUAGCGGUGAAAUGCAUAGAUAUUACAAGGAACUCCGAUUGCGAAGGCAGCUUACUAAAAUACAACUGACGCUUAGGCACGAAGGCGUGGGGAUCAAACA